AAUUUAAGAAUUUGGGCUUUUUAGCCUUUGCUCUUUCCCUCAAACUUUCCUGUCUCCUUAACUUCUGGCUUUGAUGUUGAUUACAUGCUUCAAGGUCUGCAAAUGGGACCAGUGGACGGGGCAGAGGUCAGAAGGAAGAAGAAGCUUAAACGUCUUUGAUUUUGACAGCAGAGUGUAGCUGCUUGUCUCAGGAGGAAAUGUUUAUGUCUGCUUCAAACUUGGCAUCUUGAACUUGAAUCUGAUUUCAUUUAUCAAAACCAAAUCAUUAGCACAGAGGACGUUUAAGGCAGUUGAAAAUACUCUGUAUGAUGUUAUGGCGAUGGAUAUAUGUAAGUAUACAUUUGUCCAAGCACAACAGAAGGUGCCACAUCAAGAGUGAGCCCUAAUGUAAACUAUGGGGAUAAUGACAUGUCAGUAUAGGUUCACUGAUUUUAACAAAUGAACCCUUGCAGGGGACAGGGUUUUCAUAACGGGGGAGGUUAUGCAUGUAUGUGCUGGGGCAGGGGAUGUAUAGGAACCUUUGUACCUUCCCCUUAGUUUUUCUGUGAACUUAAAACUGCUCUAAAAAAUUAAGUCUUAAAAAAAUCAUGUUUGAUUUGAGCUACACCUUAAAUCUAGAUCAUUAUUCCUAACUUGCUUUGUGAGUAGCUCUUUGUUUGCAUUUCCCAAAAGCAGCCCUUGAGAUAAGAAUUCAUCAGCAAAGUGAUCCUGGGAAGCACAGGUGAUUGGAAGUAGGGUUAGGUGCAGAGAAGGGAGAAAGCCAGUAGGAGGGGCGCCCAUCAGCAGAUCUUUGAGGUGGGCAACUACAGCUCACUCUCACUGGAGAGCCUCUGAGAACCAUUGUG
rnacentral:lncRNA from 1 species